GCGGACGGGUGAGUAAUGCCUAGGAAUCUGCCUGGUAGUGGGGGACAACGUUUCGAAAGGAACGCUAAUACCGCAUACGUCCUACGGGAGAAAGUGGGGGAUCUUCGGACCUCACGCUAUCAGAUGAGCCUAGGUCGGAUUAGCUAGUUGGUGAGGUAACGGCUCACCAAGGCGACGAUCCGUAACUGGUCUGAGAGGAUGAUCAGUCACACUGGAACUGAGACACGGUCCAG
rnacentral:rRNA from 1 species